AGGAAUGUAUUUAAUUAUAAUAAUUGAAUUGCAAUCAAUAAGUGUCCAUGGACCAUUCUUG
rnacentral:tRNA from 1 species